GGGAGCUUGUGGGGGCAGUCCGGCCCGGGGGCCCGGAGAAGGCAAGCGUCUCCUACUCAGCGUCCCAGACCUCCUUGCCGAGUGCCGGGCACUGGCUGUAGCGGGGACGCGGGCGGCUGGAGGGGACUCACCCUCUCGAACGGGGGAGCUGGUUGGUGCCAGGGCCUGGUGCAAACACAGAUUUAAUAACGAGGGUCUUUGAUCUCACGUCCACUACGUGCCUGGUGCUGAACUAGCCACUUGGGAGGUUUUAUCUGCACAUCUCAGGACACCUGCCCGUGAAGCUCACACGAGACCCAUUUUGCAAAUCAGGAAACGGUCAGGGCUUUGGCAUCCGGCCCAGAAGACGACACAGAGGUUCUGAGAGGACCCGUGCCCCCCGGCCCCCAGCCUCGUGGGGGAACAGAAGCCUUCCCACCCCCUGCUCUGUGCGCUGCAGAGAUGGAUAAACUGUGACGUUCCAGGAGCGUCAAAAGGCUCGGUGUCACGUGGACACAGGAUGGGGGAUUGUCACCCCCGGCAACGUCAAUUACAACGAAGGGAAAACAGCCGUUCACUGUCACGG
rnacentral:lncRNA from 1 species